GAUGAAGAACGCAGCGAAAUGCGAUAAGUAGUGUGAAUUGCAGAAUUCAGUGAAUCAUCGAAUCUUUGAACGCACAUUGCGCCUCCUGGUAUUCCGGGAGGCAUGCCUGUUCGAGCGUCAUUAAAAUCACUCAAGCUUAGGUUUACCUAUUGCUUGGUCUUGGAGAUGGAAGCCAAUUCAUUGGAAUCCUCUUCGAAAUCCAAUGGCGAAGACCCUUGCUCUCCCAAGUGUAGUAAUAACUUAUGUCACUGAAGGAAGCGAGAAAUCUUCCGCCGUAACCCCCAUAUUUUCUAUGAUUGACCUCGGAUCAGGUAGGGAUACCCGCUGAACUUAAGCAUAUCAAUAAGCGGUGGA
rnacentral:misc_RNA from 1 species